CUCCGCCCCCCUGCACAGCGGCGGCGCAUCUGUCCGCCCCAGCGACGCCGUCACCUCUCUCCGCCCGAUCUUGCCCCACCGCUCCAGAUCAAGAGCAUGGUUCCCUGAAUCGAUAUUUUUCCAUACCAAAUUAACUUGCGGUGGUGCUUGUCCCGCGUCACGCCGCCGCCCAGGCUCCGCGCGAUCCUGCCGCCGUAACGCCGCUGCCCAGCCUCUGCCCAGUCCCGCCGCCGCCUACUAGAACCACCACCUCCUGCCGCCGCCUACUAGUUACGCGCGCUCGCGCCGUCGCUGUAGUGGCUGCAGUGGCUGGGCGACGAGCUCGCCUCGCUCGCGCUCCCCAAGCUCGACUCCUACGCGUGCGCAAGGCUCCUGCAGCGCUGCAUCACAUCAGGGGACCUGUGAGUAGCGUCAAUAGCAGGGGGGGCCAGACAAGAAUCGGCCAAAGAUGAGUUCACUGCGUACAGCGCCGCCGCCGGGGCCGCGUCCCAAGCGCCCACCUCGUCCCACGUCGUCGGGGCCACCGCAACGCCACCAAGGCCAGCCCGUUGUCGCAGCCAUGGGUCUGGAGCAGCAGACCACAACUCGGAAGUCAAGGAUGCUGAGGGAGGCUCUCGAAGAAGCCGAGGAGGGGCGCCCACCGGUGGUGGUCGCCCAAAAAUCAAGGAUGCAGUCGACCACUCGGAAGUCGAUGGAGGCUUUUCCCUCAACAUCCCAGCCCGCUCCACCUCUUCUAUGCAACCCGCCAGUGGCCAUGGUUGUCCCAAGCGAAAGCUUUCUUGAUGCUCGCGAGGAUGCCCACAACCUGGUCGAGACAAGUAAUGAUGGUUUCUUAGCGGACAUGAUGAGUGAUGAUUUCUCUUCGUCAAUGCCAUAUGAGGAAUAUGCAGAUGAGGCUGACUUUGAAGUUCCUACUCCAACUGCAAAGAAACUUCAUUCAAGGUCUUCUAACUACACAACUCAAGAAGAUGAGGCAUUGAUCAUGGCAUGGGAGAAUGUGACUUUGGAUGCAGUGAAAGGGACUGACCAGACUAGCAGCACUCAUAUAUAUGACCACUAUCACCGCAACAAGAAGUGUGUUUCUGAUCGGUCGCUUGUUUCACUACAACAUCGAUGGAGUACAAUUUCAAGAAUGCUGCAAUAAGUGGGCAGGUUGCAUGGCGCAAGUUGAGUGCCAAAGUCCAAGUGGUGUGCCAUAACAAGAGCAUAUCAACCUUGCACAGGAGCUAUACAAAGGAAAUAAGCCAAGGCUGGGCAAGCCAUUUGUCAUGUUGCACUAUUGGGUCUUGCUCCAACACAAUCAGAAGUGGCUUACAAGGAAAGAUGAGGCUCCACCUAAAAAGCAGAAGUCAAGAAACUCCUCUCUUCAGUUCGAGGGUGUUCAAGAUGUUGAUGAUGGAGUACUAGAUGAGGAUAGGAGAGGCGGUAGUCCAACUGCAAGCUCUGAGGCACCCACUAGGACACGACCUCCAGGAAGAAAGGCUGAGAAAGAGAAGUUGAAGAGGGGAGCAGGAGGUGGCGCGUACAAGGAAGUGUUCCAAGAAAUGCUCACUAAAAGAGAAGAGAUGGAGGCUCGCAAGGAAGCAAGGUGGAUAGAGGUCAAGGCAAUGGAGGAGCGGAAGGCGGCCUUCAAGGAGCGAAAGGUGGCAAUUGAGGAGGAAAAGCUGAGGAUCAUGGGAAACGAGGUGGUGAACAAAAAUUUGGAGCGAGAGCAAAAAAUCAUAUUCAUGGACACAAGUUGUCUUGAUGAUCAGCAAAAAGCAUAUGUAAGUACAAUGCGUGCACGUAUCUUGGCAGCACAGAUGGGUGGUUUUGAAGGUGGGACUUCGAAUGGAAGUAAUGGUCUUUUGAUGAAUUGUGCCAUGGAAGGAUGGUUGCUUUACUUUUGAUAAUUACUUUACUGUUGAUACUUCCAUUUGCAUGAACUUGUAAGCUAUAUGCCAAGAAAGAUGGCAAAUAAUUGUGGAUAUGAUAGGACAAUACCAGAUUUGCUAUCUCUUUUCUUUAAGAAUACACUGCUACCAUAUUUUAUCAGGACAA